ensembl:rRNA 5S_rRNA 5S ribosomal RNA
GCUUACGGCCAUCCAACCUGGCUAUGCCUGAUCUCGCCUGACCUCAAAAGCUAAGCAGGUUUGGGCCUGGUUAGUACUUGGAUGGAAGACCGCCUGGGAAUACCAGGUGCUGUUAGCU